rnacentral:lncRNA from 1 species
CCAAGCAGUUGCUCCACCUUCUUCCUUAUCUCUCCCUUCAUUAUUAAUCCAUUCUCAUCCUGGUCUAAUCCCAGUCCAACCUUCCACACAUCACAAAUAUAUGACUUAUUAAUAAAUUGGUCACUGAAAAAUGGCCAACACAAGAAAGGUAUGCCACCACAUACACCUUCUAUGAUAGAAUUCCAACCACAAUGGGUAAUGAAGCAAGCUAUGGCAGGGUGGUUCAAUAUCUUCUUUUGUGGAGCCCAUCCAAUAAUUUUACCUUUAGAUCCAUGGAAUUCAUUUGGGUAUGUAUUGUUUACCUUGUUAUUCUCAUUACUUGGACGUACAACCCAAAGAAAAGGCUUGUUAAGGAGAUCAAGCCCAAUAGCUAAUUCAUUGAAUUGGUUUGGUUCCACUAUUGCCAAACUUCCAAAAGAAACAUACACAACAGAUUGGGGUGGAUGUUGAUCCAACCAAUGUAGGCAAGUUGUGUCUUCUCUCCAGAAUGAGCUUUUGUUGGUGUCACUUUGCAUCAAUGGGCCAAUUGAAAGGAACCUUGGCCACAUGGCAAGUGCUCCUGGCUCAAGAUCACAAGUGGUGUUGCAAAGCCACCAUUCUCCUAACUUCAAACUUUGAGUAUCUUCUACCAUGUGAAGGAAAAAGUUCUUACCAAGGCUACACCAUGGUAGAUUUGCCGUGUCCAUCAUAGGCGAAUUUGGUAAAAGCUGAAUCUCCUGUUUUCUGGUAGGAAGUCCUGCAAAGUCCGAAGAAAAUUAAGAAUGAUUGCCUAUGUCAGUGUUUGACUACCACUAAAAGAAAUUUUAGUCUACAAAAAAGAAUAUAAAGAAGUUUACUAUGCAUUAUAAAAAAAUUCAUUAAGUCUUCUCUUUUCAAUAUAAUAAUGUGUUUUUUCUAAUUUAGUGAUCAUGGAUAUCUCCCAAUUCAUUGGAUAAAAAAGUAUUUAUAUUUGUGGUAUAUGAUUGUUUAUGGUUUAAAAGAAUUUUACAUAUGAAAAUCGAACAUGAAUUUAUAUGCUAAAUAAAUUGUUUUUAUUCAUUUGAAUCCAUUAGAAUCUCAUACAAUACGCUAACCCUUUGGACUCUAAUAAUAUAUUUAAUAAAAAACAAAAUAUCACUAUAAACAUUAUGAAUUUAUACUUAAAGUCUCAUACAAUAAGCUAACCCUUUGGACUCUAAUAAUAUAUUUAAUAAAAAACAAAAUAUCACUAUAAACAUUAUGAAUUUAUACUUAAAGUGUGAUGUAGUAAUUAAUAGUGUGUGUCUUUUUUAGGUUUUCAAUAAAAUUAAUUUUUAAUAAUUGUUUUUAUUUAUUAGUAUAAAAAAAUGAUGUAAUAACACCAAUGCAUGAUAUCUUUAGCGUAAAUUUAUAUUGCCUUUUUCUUAUAAUAUUGUAGGUACUUUAUUUAAUUACCCUAAAACCAACGUCAAUUACGUGUUCAAAUUGGGUUGUACCUGUAGUGGGAUUCAAUUAGCAGUAAAACUUGACCAUGUUUAGAAGAAGAAAAAAUGAGAACUGCCAUCAAACCAUGUACAUAAAAAAUUGCAUAUCAAGAAGGGAGAAGAAUAUAUACAAAUUUAUUGGCCAUUGAUAUUUUAUGAUGAUUUGUAACUGAAUUAAUGCUUGAUUCCAAUUCCUGGUGAAGUUUAAUUAAUAUCCAAAUAAUAGGUUAGCUAACAUAAUAUAAUAUAGUAAUUAAUUAGUUUGUUCUUACCAGUUUCAGAGUCUAUAAUUCCUUCAUCAAUGAGCCUUGGUAUGGACUCAAAAGAGGCCAGCGAAGUAGCGGAAGCAGGCCACAGAAGAGCCCCUUUGAUUCCCAAUUUGUGUGCAACUUCCAAGGCCCAUCCUAUGUUCUUAGAAACAACCAGACAAGUGAUCUUGUUGUUGUCACCAUCCAAAGCAUUAUUAUUAUUAUUGAUGUCUUGUAUGAGCCUGUGAAGCUUAGUAGGCAUGGUGUUUCUGAGUGACAAAAUCACCUUCGGUUGGUCACUUCUGUCAUCUUCUGGAUCCAAACCAUCUGGGAGUGUCACAAACUUUAUCUGUGCUCCCAAGUGGUCAAUUUCACUCUUCAUUCUCUUUUGGUUGAACUCAGUGAUCAAAAAGGUUAUUUUGCAGCCAUGGUUGGCCAAAACCUGAGAGAACUGCAGAAGUGGAUUCAUGUGUCCUAGAAUUGGAUAAGGCAUAACAAGAAAGUGUGGGUAACUCAUUUCUGUUGAUGUAAAUUUGAAGAGGGAAUAGGGGAGGGGACAAUAAUGAGAGAUGUAGAAGGCUGAGUGAAAUGUGAGUUUUUAGUACUUGUUAUUUGUUGCUCAUUGGGAAGUUAUUUAUAUAUGUUAAUGAUAACUUAUUAUUUGUAAGGAGAAUGAGUUGUGUCAACACUCGCAUGCUAGUAAGAGAAAGUGAUAGAAGGAAGAAAAAUAUAGGUAUAAUAAUAUGUUGUGACAAAAAGAGAAACAAAAUAAAAAAUCAAAUAGAUAUUUGCCAAUUAGAGUAUCCAUGUAUUAAAUGUUAUAAAUGUGUUUGUUACUUGAAUCAGUUGGCUUCUUCAAGUUAUACGUGGGUCUCAAGAAAUUUUUAAAAAAAUAUAUAUAAGAUGUGCAAAAAUUUUAGGUAAAUCACGUGUUUCUUGAAGUGUGUGGGUCUCAAGAAAUGAUCCACUCAAGUGAUAAAAAUAAAUAAUAUGUUACUACUACAUCCACAAUUUUAAAGACUGGCUCGGUGCGAUUGGAUAUUGGUGGUAUAACCAAUUGAACUAUUUUUUUUAUAAGAAUGUAAAGUUUAACAAAAAUAUAACAUAAUUGACACAAUCAAGAAUCAAUCCCAGAACUUGAAAAUUAUGUUAUAGAUCAACUUACUAAUAGACCACCGUAAUUAAUUAAUUAGUAAACUUGUCAUACAAAUCAUAUAUAUUUUAUUAUAUCUUACUUAUUGGUUCCAUGGUUCAAAUAAUUACCAUCAAUCAAUCUAGUAUUUGGAUCUAGUCAACUACUGGUUCACUUUUUAAAACACAAACUAUAUUGAUAUUUAUCUUCAUUUAGUUCUUUGUUAAAAAAAUAAAUUAUUGUGAUUAUUUAAAAAAUAUAUAUUAUAAAAAUAGAAACCACACAUAAAACAUUUACAUAAAUAAUAAAUAAUCAGAAAAAGAAGAUUUUAUUUUGAGAUGUUAAAAAUAAAUAUAUUUUUAUUUGCAAAAAAUAUAUAAUUUCUCCUAGAAAAUUUUAAAAUAAAAAACCUAUAAUGAAUUAAUGAUAAUGAAAAUACAAGAUACUUUUAGUUUUUUUAAGAUUAAUUCCAAAUUUUAAAAAAAUAAUAAAAAAUUAUACCCUUACAAAGUCAAAUCAUAUCAAUCUAAUAUCCAUCAACCCAAUUAUAAUUAAAGGAAUCAAUGGUAAGGUUUAUUUCAAAUAAAAAAAUUGAUGGCAUCCGAAAAUAUUAAAAUUAAGAAUUUAAUUUAUAAUAUUUUUAUACAAAAAUCUAAAAAAAAUUACGUUAUCGUUAUUAAAUUUCUACGUUAGUUUAAAGGCUUGUAUAACUUAAACUCACCCUCCUCAUUUUAUCCUUUUUACUCUAUUCAGAUCCCCCCCUCGCACUCACAGCAACAAACUGACAACAUGAGGAAUUAGAGGAUGAGGGGAAAAUGGAAAAGAAGCUUGAAAGCUGGAAAUUUGAAACGAGUAAAACUCAGAAGGUAUAAUUAUAAUUAAAAACACCAAAAAUGAGUAUGAUAUUCCUCUUAUUUAUAUACAAUGAAUAUUUGAGCACUAAUAAUAUUAAUUAGUUAUCAAUUGCUGUCCAAAAAAAAAUAGUUAUCAAUUUAAGUAACAAAUCCACAUAAUUCAACAGCAUAUCUCCACCCCUUAAGCUGGUAGCUAUGCUAUAUGACUACAACCAACCAACUUGGAAAUAAAAUAGGCAAAGCAAAGCAGAAACUAAAUUUGUCAUUGGACUUAACUUCUAUUCUUUUGAAAUUGGAAAAGAUUCUUUUGAGUAUCUUUGGACCCAACAGGGAGAUGCAAUCUGCUGUUUAGCUAUAGUAAACGAAUUUCAGACAUAAAAAUUGAGAAAAAUUAAAGAGAGACAACUUCCAAUCCAAACUAUAGCAGGAGGUAGUACUACUUUGCCCAGUUAAUAAACUUUUCUAGAUUCUUUGAAGAUUGAUCACCAUUAACUGAGUUAUUCACAGUCAAUUCCUUCAGUUUCAACGAUCUAGCUUUGAUGUCUUCAUUCCCAAGCAAUUGGUCCACCUUCUUCCUUAUCUCUCCCUUCAGUAUUAAUCCAUUUCCAUCCUUGUCUAAUUUCAAUCCAACCUUCCACACGUCACAAAUAUACGACCUAUUAACAAAUUGGUCAGAGAAAAAUGGCCAACACAAGAAAGGUAUGCCACUGCAUACACCUUCUAUAGUUGAAUUCCAACCACAGUGACUAAUGAAGCAAGCUAUGGCAGGGUGGUUCAAUAUCUUCCUCUGAGGCACCCAAUUGACAAUUUUACCUUUACUUCCAUGGAAUUCAUCAGGGUAUGCACUAU